UACAGAGGGGGCAAGCGUUAUCCGGAUUUACUGGGCGUAAAGCGUGUUCAGGCGGCCUGGCAAGUCGGGCAUGAAAUCUCUCGGCUCAACCGGGCGAGGCUGUCCGAUACUGCUGGGCUUGAGGACGGUAGAGGGUGGUGGAAUUCCGCGUGUAGUGGUGAAAUGCGUAGAUAUGCGGAGGAACACCAGUGGCGAAGGCGGCCACCUGGACCGUCCCUGACGCUCAAACACGAAAGCUAGGGUAGCGAACGGG
rnacentral:rRNA from 1 species